GCUUUGGUAGAUCAAUUGGCAGAUUGUCCCAGUCUUAUACUAAAAGUCGUCUGCAUAGUCCAUGGGAAGGAGGAGGUUCGAAUCCUCGCCAAGGCA